CUACGUUUUUUUUUGCAGUAAUGAUCAUAAUGAGAGGGAACACACAAACAAUAACAAAGAAAUCACUUUACAACAAUUUCACUUUUACUUGGUACACUCGAUUGCGGCCGAAAAUAUAUAUGAAAUUCCAUUGUUGGCUUUGUUUACCGGCCGACAAAGUUACGUUGUUUAUCUAGUAAUAAAUCCUUUUUU